CUUCAGCGCACCCAGCCACAACGGGCGCCCCUCCGGCCGCUCCUUGCCGUAGGUGGCCAGCAGUGCCUGCGCCUC
rfam:Streptomyces violaceusniger Tu 4113, complete genome.